CCUACGGGCGGCAGCAGUAGGGAAUCUUCCACAAUGGGCGAAAGCCUGAUGGCGCAACGCCGCGUGGGUGAAGAAGGUCUUCGGAUCGUCAAACCCUGUUGUUAGAGAAGAAAGUGCGUGAGAGUAACUGUUCACGUUUCGACGGUAUCUAACCAGAAAGCCACGGCUCACUACGUGCCAGCAGCCGCGGUAAUACGUAGGUUGCCAGCGUUAUCCGGAGUUAUUGGGCGGAAAGGGAACGCAGGCGGUCUUUUAAGUCGGAUGUGAAAGCCUUCGGCUUAACCGGAGUAGGGAAUUGGAAACUGGGAGACUUGAGUGCAGAAGAGGAGAGUGAAACUCCAGGUGUAGCGAUGAAAGGCGUAGAUAUAUGGAAGAACACCAGUGGCGAAAGCGGCUCUCUGGUCUGUAACUGACUCUGAGGUUCGAAAGCGUGGGUAGCAAACAGGAUUAGAUACCCCUGUAGUC
rnacentral:rRNA from 1 species